rnacentral:lncRNA from 1 species
UUUGAAGGCUAAGGUCGGAAGGUUUAGGUUUUUGAUUAAGGUUUUGGUGCAAGUUUUGUGUCAUUUGAGGUUUUUAUGAAGAAAUUAUAGGCGCUCAAAGUUAAGGUGUUAGUUUUGGACCUACUGUCACUCUUUUGGGCUUAACGCACGCGUACGGACGACAAUUGAGGAUCGGCAACCGCGACUGGAGAGAGCACUUUUGCGGCUAUACUUUUUGCAUACUGCUUACUGGAUUCUAAGUUGGAAUGAAGGAGUUGUUGGAUUUUGAAGUCAGCACAUGCAAUCUAAGGG